ACAUAAAGCUCGGCUUUCUCUGGGUUCUAUAGUUCUGCUCAGAACCUAUAUCCCAUCCCAGAGAAAGGCACCACUUCAAUGACAGGUUUUCAGCCCUCUGUUGAGAAAGGAGAUGAGAUUGAUGCUUGAAUGCAUACCUCCAGGCAGUGCUGAACACACCCUGGAGAACUGCUGCUGAUCUGAAAAGUGUGAGCUGGAACAUCAAGAGUGAAAACGAAAAUGGCCUACAGCCAGCUUAAUGACUGACUCCUUCCAUCAACCCUGGAAAACAGUGCACAUCUUCCAAAAUCUUCUUGCUGCCCAGUGGAAUCUCCUGACCUGGCCUUCUGCAGUGUCACGCUCCGUGUAUUUGACAAGCUGAGUUGGACACUCUGUGUGGUAGAGUGUCAGUUUGUCAAAUACCCCAAGUGUGGCUCAUGCUAAUCAGCUCCAGGCCCAGGAAAGAGCAAAUAGCCUUCUGGCUAUAUAUAACUGCUUACAAAAUACCAAGCUCUCUCAAGUUACUCUAUGGCUUUGAGGGAACUAUAACAUUUCAUCAGAGGACACCAGAGUAAGAACGAUGCAGCUUUGGGGCCUACAAGUCUGGGAUGCAUCUAUGUACAUUGUAAGAAUGCCAUGGAAUGCACAAUAGUCUUGAAAAUACAUAAGGGAAACCAGGA